rnacentral:tRNA from 1 species
GUGUAGCUCAGUGGUAGAGCACUUGCCUAGCAUGUGCAAGGCCCUGGGUUCAAUUCCUAGCAC